CCGGGUAGUGAGCAUAAUAUCUGGUCCUCCAGGAUUCUGUGGACAUCUCUUCCUGUGGAAAGCUUAGAGAAGGAACAUUAGUGGGGUGCUGUAAGAAAACUGCCCAUGGCUCCUUUCCCAGCAUAAUAAGAGAGCCCCACCUGGAAGACUCUAGGUUCUCAUCUUCAUGCCCCGAUGUAAGGAGAGUGGUCCAGCAUGUGAAGACUCCCAUUGCCUGCAUCAAGGAUGAAUUCCUUCAUCUGAUACCAAGACCUGCCAUGAUAUUGUGCCACCAUCUCUCCCCAACCUUAUUUCUCAUGACUCUCAAUACCUACUCAUUGUUCCAUUCAAGCUGACUUGAUCAUUGUUUCCCCCUCUAUUCCCAAUGUUUACUCCUGCUUAAUGAUUUUGUCUAAAUCUGAGAUACCUUUUCCUCACCUCUUCAAAUUCUGCGUAUACUUUAAGGUCCAGUUCAGAUCCCACUUCUCCAUGAAGUCUUCACAAAAUAGUCCAAAAUGCAAUGAGCUCUUGUUUAUUAUCUUAACUUCUCUGCCACAUUAGUUUGUGUACUAUACCACUU
rnacentral:lncRNA from 10 species